UUUGGAGUGCCAAUGUCUCUACUAUUUGCUUGCAGACAUACUAUGGCCAUAUGCAAAUUUCAGUCUCAGCACUUUCCACUCGUAGUUUAUUUUUUGGUAAAAAACUCUUGAACAUUUCUUCAUCAUAUUUUUUAAAUUCUUUCACCAAACUGUGGAUGCACACACAACAGCCAAAUUUUGUUUAUGGAUGUUACGAAGCUGGAUUCAACGUUGGAGAUUUAAAUUUCAUUCAGGCUCGUUUUGGUAUUGUUUCCGUGAACAGACCAGGAUGCAAUUAUACUAUUCCUCAAGCCAUUGGUGUAGGAAUAAAAAUACCUGGGAGGAAGAAUAUCAGUGUCAAUGGUGUGGUUAGCAAUGUAAUGUCACUUAAUUUUUCCUCUUACCUAGACUUUAGCUUUUAUGUUCGUUCGCGUACUCCAGUAAUUUAACUUUUAAUUCUUUUACUUUUUAUUCUGCUAAUAUGCAAUCAAUUUUAUAAUAUUCUAAGAUUGCUAAACUGGUCAUUUAUAUAUGUUAAAUUUCUUCGAUCAUUAAAUUUACAAGCACAACACAACCCGUUGAUUGCAAAAAAAAGUUUUGAAACAUCUUUUACAACGGAGGGCACUAAAGUAAAAAAAGCACUGAAAUUAAGUGUAUCACUUUUAUAUCAAUGGUUAAUGAAUACUGUUUGAUUUAAUUUGAAAAUAUAGUAGAUUGUUCGAACUACAAUUAAAAGUAAACGGUUAUCUUACAAUAAACGCAGACAUCACCAA